GACGAACGCUGGCGGCGUGCUUAACACAUGCAAGUCGAACGGAAAGGCCCUGCUUGCAGGGUACUCGAGUGGCGAACGGGUGAGUAACACGUGGGUGAUCUGCCCUGCACUUCGGGAUAAGCCUGGGAAACUGGGUCUAAUACCGGAUAGGAGCCAUUUUUAGUGUGUUGGUUGGAAAGUUUUUUCGGUGUAGGAUGAGCUCGCGGCCUAUCAGCUUGUUGGUGGGGUAAUGGCCUACCAAGGCGGCGACGGGUAGCCGGCCUGAGAGGGUGGACGGCCACAUUGGGACUGAGAUACGGCCCAGACUCCUACGGGAGGCAGCAGUGGGGAAUAUUGCACAAUGGGCGCAAGCCUGAUGCAGCGACGCCGCGUGGGGGAUGACGGCCUUCGGGUUGUAAACUCCUUUCGCUAGGGACGAAGCUUUUUGUGACGGUACCUAGAUAAGAAGCACCGGCUAACUACGUG
rnacentral:rRNA from 1 species